rnacentral:misc_RNA from 1 species
UCUAGCCUUUGCUCGCUCCCUUCAUCGUUGGUGUUGGGUCUAUGUAACCUCACGAGUGUGCCAAAGACAUUCUUCAUGCUUGGACAUUCAUAUAUGCUCAACUUUUUCAAUGAUGGACAUUCCAAAUUACUCGAUCCUGAAUAGAAACGUGAAAAUUUAGGCAAACAUUCAAGGUCUACGAAUUUCAACGAAGGAAGUAUCAUCUUAUCAGCGGAAGAAGUUGCUUCCUCUGGUCCCUCCUUUUCUAUAAUUUCUUCAAUUGUGUUACAAUUGCUUAACUUAAUCUCUUCAAGUUGCAUAAGGCACAACGCUGUCGACCAAGUAAAUAUAUUCUUCAAGCUAUUACAAUUUUCAACAUGGAGCAACCUUAGCUUAUUGAAUUCUAA